ensembl:lncRNA
CCGGACUCUAAUUGGUCAGAGGCAUCUCUGUCAGGUGGAGGUAGGUUUGUGACUAGCCAUUGCUUCCUUGUAGUCUGAAUGGUUGCUGCAGAAAGACCUCAGCUGGAGCCUGGACUGCAACACGGAGGGUGCUCUCAGAAACAAAAGAAGGGAGUUAUUCUUCACUGAGUGAGGGCUACAACAGCACAGACUCUGAGCUGAAUGAUCCAACGCAUCCCAGAGGAGGAAGGAGUUAUCACCAGGCCAGUGCAGGCUGUAUUGCAGCUGCUCGGAGGAGACGUCACCUUGCCAGGACCCGAGCUGAUUAUAUGCUUCCUUGGAUUGCUCAAAUGAUCGUCAGCUUUCUCGGAG